CUGCGGAGGGAUCAUUACUGAGUUACCGCUCAUCAACCCUUUGUGAACAUACCUUAACUGUUGCUUCGGCGGGUAGGCGUCCCCUAAAAAGGACGUCUCCCGGCCCUCUCCCGUCCGCGGGUGGGGCGCCCGCCGGAGGAUAACCAAACUCUGAUUUAACGACGUUUCUUCUGAGUGACACAAGCAAAUAAUCAAAACUUUUAACAACGGAUCUCUUGGUUCUGGCAUCGAUGAAGAACGCAGCGAAAUGCGAUAAGUAAUGUGAAUUGCAGAAUUCAGUGAAUCAUCGAAUCUUUGAACGCACAUUGCGCCCGCCAGCAUUCUGGCGGGCAUGCCUGUUCGAGCGUCAUUUCAACCCUCAAGCUCUGCUUGGUGUUGGGGCUCUACGGUUGACGUAGGCCCUUAAAGGUAGUGGCGGACCCUCUCGGAGCCUCCUUUGCGUAGUAACAUUUCGUCUCGCAUUGGGAUUCGGAGGGACUCUAGCCGUAAAACCCCCAAUUUUACUAAGGUUGACCUCGGAUCAGGUAGGAAUACCCGCUGAACUUAAGCAUAUCAAUA
rnacentral:rRNA from 1 species